AAUUGUGUACAUACAUCAGCUGUUUGAUAUGUCGCUGUCGUCUUCAAAAUAUUCAGCUAGCUUCAAGACGACAUUUGCCACCAGAAAAUUUCGUUGUCGUGCUGUCGUGUCGUGCCGUCGUUUUUGUGUUCAAAGUAUUCUUCUUGAAAAUUUGUUUAAUCACGUUUCCUCUUUUAACAUGUUAUUAUUUCGAUAUGCUUGAGUAUCGAUAGUUUUUAGUCUUUCUAAAUUUACGAUUCCUUAUUCAAUUAGAAAUGACAGUAAAUGUACAUGUGUUAAGAAACAAAUGGAAAAAUGUGGUUGGAUUUAUGAUAUGAGUUACAUCCAUCUUGUAGGGUUUGUUAACGAUUUACUAUAUAAGGGCUGCCGGAUUGUGCAGCGGAAACAGCUCUAGUUAGAGUGUUGCUGUGUAGCGCGCAAAUGAGAUAUAAGAAAGAAGUUGUAAACUCGAAUAAUAAGUAAUAAAGCGUAAUCGAACACUAGAGAGAGUUUCAAGGUAGACGAUUUAUCGAGAAAUCCGUUACGACUGGUGUCAGAAGUGGAAUUGUUAAAAGAAUUUUCAAAGGGAUAAUUGUUUGAAAAUGGCAAAGUUUAACGAUGUCAAGAUUCCACAACUACAAAUGACUCUGAAGCAACGUGGUUUGGCAACGAAUGGAGUAAAGUCCGAAAUACAGUUACGAGAAGCCAUGAAAUCAGAAAACAUUAAUGUUGAGAAAUAUUUCUUUCAAUUGGACAUAGAAAAAGGGAUAACGAGGAUAAAAGAAAAGAAAGAGACUUAAUGUUCAUUAGAGUGAAUGCGAUUUUGGCCGUGUUGUCGCCGAUGUCAACGCAAAUACUGAUACAGUGGAAAGAGCAAGAGGCACGUAUAUCGACACAGUUUAAAGAGCAGGAUACACUCAUAUCGCACAUGACCUUACAAAAAGGAGAUGUGUUAUCACAAAAUGUUGGCACAACAAUCCCGAUUGUAUUGGCAGUUAGAAACGCGGUUUUCAGCACGGUUUGAAACAAUUGGGGAGGGGAGAACUGUCAGCAGAGUUGUUGGAGCACGGGAUGCAUAUAUCAACACAGGAAGAAUAGUUGGGAGAUCAGGAAGCGUGUAUACCAGCCCAGAUGUCUUUUCAGUCGGAAGGGCAGGAUUUUUUUAAGAACUUCUAUUUCUUCUACAACUCACUCGUAGUUAAACAGUCAUACACGAUACAGCCGUCAUGGAGCCGUAGUUUUUCGUAGUGUCAUACAAACUUUAAAAAUUUAAGUUAAGUUUUUACUUUCAGUUUUAAUUAUAAGAAACUUUUGUAACAUAAAUUAAUACAUUAAAGAUAUGUGGUAACGUA